rnacentral:rRNA from 1 species
GACGAACGCUGGCGGCGUGCUUAACACAUGCAAGUCGAACGGAGUUACGUAUGAAGUAUUUCGGUACGGACUAUGUAACUUAGUGGCGAACGGGUGAGUAACACGUGGGCAACCUGCCCUUAACCGGGGGAUAACAUUGUGAAAACAGUAGCUAAUACCGCAUAACGGAGUAUCGGGCAUCCGAUAUUUUUAAAAGGAGCAAUCCGGUUUAGGAUGGGCCCGCGUCCAAUUAGCUAGUUGGUGAGGUAACGGCUCACCAAGGCUACGAUUGGUAGCCGAACUGAGAGGUUGAUCGGCCACAUUGGGACUGAGACACGGCCCAGACUCCUACGGGAGGCAGCAGUGGGGAAUAUUGGGCAAUGGGCGAAAGCCUGACCCAGCGACGCCGCGUGAAGGAUGAAGGUCUUCGGAUUGUAAACUUCUUUGAUCAGGGAAGAAAGAAAUGACGGUACCUGAAGAACAAGCCACGGCUAACUACGUG